UACCAGCACCCCGAGUGGUCGGGACGUUUAUUGGGCCUAAAGCAUCCGUAGCCGGUUCUACAAGUCUUCCGUUAAAUCCAGCUGCUUAACAGAUGGGCUGCGGAAGAUACUAUGGAGCUAGGAGGCGGGAGAGGCAAGCGGUACUCGAGUGGGUAGGGGUAAAAUCCGUUGAUCCAUUGAAGACCACCAGUGGCGAAGGCGGCUUGCCAGAACGCGCUCGACGGUGAGGGAUGAAAGCUGGGGGAGGCAAACCGGG
rnacentral:rRNA from 1 species